CCCUUAGAUGUCCGGGGCUGCACGCGCGCUACACUGAAGGAAUCAGCGUGCUAAAACCAUUGUCGAAAGGCAUUGGUAAACCCAUUAAAAUCCUACGUGAUUGGGAUCGGGAAUUGCAAUUAUUUCCCUUGAACGAGGAAUUCCCAGUAAGUGUGGGUCAUAAGCUCGCGUUGAUUACGUCCCUGCCCUUUGUACACACCGCCCGUCGCUGCCCGGGACUGAGCCGUUUCGAGAAAAGCGGGGACUGCUGCUGUCGGGGCUUUCGGGCCUUGGCUUCGGUGGAAACCGCUUUAAUCGCAGUGGCUUGAACCGGGCAAAAUUCGUAACA
rnacentral:rRNA from 1 species